GUCCACGCCCUAAACGAUGUCAACUGGUUGUUGGGUGCAUUAGUACUCAGUAACGAAGCUAACGCGUGAAGUUGACCGCCUGGGGAGUACGGCCGCAAGGUUGAAACUCAAAGGAAUUGACGGGACCCGCACAAGCGGUGGAUGAUGUGGUUUAAUUCGAUGCAACGCGAAAACCUUACCUACCUUUGACAUGUACGGAACUCGCCAGAGAUGGCUUGGUGCUCGAAAGAGAGCCGUAACACAGGUGCUGCAUGGCUGUCGU
rnacentral:rRNA from 1 species